rnacentral:tRNA from 1 species
GGUAGAAUGGCCGAGCGCUUAGGCGGUGGGUUGUAGCCCCAUAAACAGAGGUUCAAAUCCUUUUUCUAUCA